CGCCCUAAACGAUGCAUACUUGGUGUGAGUCAUUCAUUUGAUUCGUGCCGGAGCUAACGCGUUAAGUAUGCCGCCUAGGGUAAAACUAGUAACUGGGGCU
rnacentral:rRNA from 1 species